UACAGAGGGGGCAAGCGUUAUUCGGAUUUAUUGGGCGUAAAGAGCGUGUAGGCGGCCAGGUAGGUCUGCUGUGAAAACUCGAGGCUCAACCUCGAGACGUCGGCGGAAACCAUCUGGCUAGAGUCCGGAAGAGGAGAGUGGAAUUCCUGGUGUAGCGGUGAAAUGCGCAGAUAUCAGGAAGAACACCCGUGGCGAAGGCGGCUCUCUGGGACGGUACUGACGCUGAGACGCGAAAGCGUGGGGAGCGAACAGG
rnacentral:rRNA from 1 species